rfam:Pongo abelii chromosome X.
AGGUUUCCUGCUUCAACGGUGCUUGGACGGAACCC